AUAGCUACUUAGGUUACCUUGUCAAAAACCAAACCUUGUUUCAAAACUUUUUUUUGGUUUCGGGUUUAGGGUCCUGUGUGCUCUGCCUCCGGACUGUGGUUGCCGCUCGUGCUUCGCGCUCCUUCUGCGUGCUCUGCCUCUGUCUGUGCGUUGCCGCUCGUGCUUGGCCGCUCGUGCUCUGCCUCCUGUCUCUGGUCUCAGACAUCCACCACUCCAACCUCCAAUCUCGCACCUCAGACCACCUCCACCAUCAUCAAUCGCACUCCCAGGUACCAGCCUUCACUUGCGAACAACCGCUCCGCCUCCUGCAUGUGUUUGCCUUCGCCGUUCUCAAAACCUGCGCCCUUACCAGCCUCAGACACCACCCCUUCGCUUGAUUGUUCGUGCCUCCUCUUCUUUUUGUGCGUCUUCUGCAAGGUUCUAAUUUUUGUUCUUUUGGUUUAGAUCUCUCUUCAAAGUUGGAUUCCAGAAAUUAUUGAGAGACAUCAAAAAACAAUCUAAAUAUUGAGCAAGAAUUUCACAUGUGGAAAGAAAAGGCAAAGGAGCAAGAAAUGAUCAAUGAAGAGCAAAAGAUCAAGUUGAAUGAUGCUGAGCACAAGUUAAAAGAUCAAGGACGUCAACUAAAAGUUCAACAGAAAAGAAUUGGUUCUACUGAAAAGACAAUUCAUAUUUUGUAUAAAAAGUUGAAUCUGCCACUUCCUUCAACCUUGUCUGAUCCUACGGAAGAUGAGCUUGGGACAGGCUCUAGUGAUGAUAACAUGAGUGAUUGAUAUUUGGAGUAUAUGUUUUUUCUGAUUUAGAUUAAGAAAUUUUUAGGUGAUUUAGUUAGUACAUUUUAUUUUACUCAUGAUAUUUGACCUUUUUAAAAGCUUUCUUUGUUUUAGUUUAAGUAUUUUUUUCUUAUUUUAGUUUGAUUACAUUUAUGGACAAAAGUAUUUUAAUAAUAAAUAUUUUUUUAACA